AUUUUAAACAUUUACACAAAGCUUUAAAACCUGAAUUAUGGUUCUGCGGAGGAUCCACGCAGAGCUUUCGCCGUAGCCUACGUGUGUGGCCUGAAGUUUAUACAGGUGCGUUGGUGUGUGCGUCGAUCUCUUGUGUGUGCGUGGGGAGUGUGUGGUAGAGCGAGUGAGAGAGUGACAGGGAUUAGCUUCGGAGAGAGUACAGACUCUAAAGGCAUAGUGAGAGAAACAAAGUGUAUCUCCUGUGCUUUCUGACCACGGUGGGAAAUAUGUAACAGGAAAAGUUAACCCUCUCCUUGAUUCCAUGUUGUUCAUGGAUGUCAUUCUUAAGAAGGAGAACCAGGAAAUGAGUCAGGGGGGAAUGCAACGAGAGCAUUAGUGAGGUCGGACACAGAUGUUGAAGGAUCAGGACCGGCUCAAAAGCCAUGUUCCAGUUUUUCCUCAUAGGUGUUGGAUUGGGGCUACAU